ACCAGUACCGUGAGGGAAAGGCGAAAAGAACCCCGGAGAGGGGAGUGAAAUAGAACCUGAAACCGUAUGCGUACAAGCAGUGGGAGCCUACUUGUUAGGUGACUGCGUACCUUUUGUAUAAUGGGUCAGCGACUUAUAUUCAGUGGCAAGCUUAACCGUAUAGGGUAGGCGUAGCGAAAGCGAGUCUUAAUAGGGCGUUUAGUCGCUGGGUAUAGACCCGAAACCGGGCGAUCUAUCCAUGAGCAGGUUGAAGGUUAGGUAACACUGACUGGAGGACCGAACCCACUCCCGUUGAAAAGGUAGGGGAUGACUUGUGGAUCGGAGUGAAAGGCUAAUCAAGCUCGGAGAUAGCUGGUUCUCCUCGAAAGCUAUUUAGGUAGCGCCUCAUGUAUCACUCUGGGGGGUAGAGCACUGUUUCGGCUAGGGGGUCAUCCCGACUUACCAAACCGAUGCAAACUCCGAAUACCCAGAAGUGCCGAGCAUGGGAGACACACGGCGGGUGCUAACGUCCGUCGUGAAAAGGGAAACAACCCAGACCGCCAGCUAAGGUCCCAAAGUUGUGGUUAAGUGGUAAACGAUGUGGGAAGGCUUAGACAGCUAGGAGGUUGGCUUAGAAGCAGCCAUCCUUUAAAGAAAGCGUAAUAGCUCACUAGUCGAGUCGGCCUGCGCGGAAGAUGUAACGGGGCUCAAACCACACACCGAAGCUGCGGGUGUCACGUAAGUGACGCGGUAGAGGAGCGUUCUGUAAGCCUGUGAAGGUGAGUUGAGAAGCUUGCUGGAGGUAUCAGAAGUGCGAAUGCUGACAUGAGUAACGACAAUGGGUGUGAAAAACACCCACGCCGAAAGACCAAGGGUUCCUGCGCAACGUUAAUCGACGCAGGGUUAGUCGGUUCCUAAGGCGAGGCUGAAAAGCGUAGUCGAUGGGAAACAGGUUAAUAUUCCUGUACUUCUGGUUACUGCGAUGGAGGGACGGAGAAGGCUAGGCCAGCUUGGCGUUGGUUGUCCAAGUUUAAGGUGGUAGGCUGAAAUCUUAGGUAAAUCCGGGGUUUCAAGGCCGAGAGCUGAUGACGAGUCGUCUUUUAGAUGACGAAGUGGUUGAUGCCAUGCUUCCAAGAAAAGCUUCUAAGCUUCAGGUAACCAGGAACCGUACCCCAAACCGACACAGGUGGUCGGGUAGAGAAUACCAAGGCGCUUGAGAGAACUCGGGUGAAGGAACUAGGCAAAAUGGCACCGUAACUUCGGGAGAAGGUGCGCCGGCUAGGGUGAAGGAUUUACUCCGUAAGCUCUGGCUGGUCGAAGAUACCAGGCCGCUGCGACUGUUUAUUAAAAACACAGCACUCUGCAAACACGAAAGUGGACGUAUAGGGUGUGACGCCUGCCCGGUGCCGGAAGGUUAAUUGAUGGGGUUAGCGCAAGCGAAGCUCUUGAUCGAAGCCCCGGUAAACGGCGGCCGUAACUAUAACGGUCCUAAGGUAGCGAAAUUCCUUGUCGGGUAAGUUCCGACCUGCACGAAUGGCGUAACGAUGGCGGCGCUGUCUCCACCCGAGACUCAGUGAAAUUGAAAUCGCUGUGAAGAUGCAGUGUAUCCGCGGCUAGACGGAAAGACCCCGUGAACCUUUACUGUAGCUUUGCACUGGACUUUGAGCCUGCUUGUGUAGGAUAGGUGGGAGGCUUUGAAGCGUGGACGCCAGUUCGCGUGGAGCCAUCCUUGAAAUACCACCCUGGCAUGCUUGAGGUUCUAACUCUGGUCCGUGAUCCGGAUCGAGGACAGUGUAUGGUGGGCAGUUUGACUGGGGCGGUCUCCUCCUAAAGAGUAACGGAGGAGUACGAAGGUGCGCUCAGACCGGUCGGAAAUCGGUCGCAGAGUAUAAAGGCAAAAGCGCGCUUGACUGCGAGACAGACACGUCGAGCAGGUACGAAAGUAGGUCUUAGUGAUCCGGUGGUUCUGUAUGGAAGGGCCAUCGCUCAACGGAUAAAAGGUACUCCGGGGAUAACAGGCUGAUACCGCCCAAGAGUUCAUAUCGACGGCGGUGUUUGGCACCUCGAUGUCGGCUCAUCACAUCCUGGGGCUGAAGCCGGUCCCAAGGGUAUGGCUGUUCGCCAUUUAAAGUGGUACGCGAGCUGGGUUUAGAACGUCGUGAGACAGUUCGGUCCCUAUCUGCCGUGGACGUUUGAGAUUUGAGAGGGGCUGCUCCUAGUACGAGAGGACCGGAGUGGACGAACCUCUGGUGUUCCGGUUGUCACGCCAGUGGCAUUGCCGGGUAGCUAUGUUCGGAAAAGAUAACCGCUGAAAGCAUCUAAGCGGGAAACUUGCCUCAAGAUGAGAUCUCACUGGGAACUUGAUUCCCCUGAAGGGCCGUCGAAGACUACGACGUUGAUAGGCUGGGUGUGUAAGCGUUGU
rnacentral:rRNA from 1 species